GCGGAAUUCAUGGUGUAGCGGUGAAAUGCUUAGAUAUCAUGACGAACUCCGAUUGCGAAGGCAGCGUACGGGAGUGUUACUGACGCUUAAGCUCGAAGGUGCGGGUAUCGAACAGGAUUAGAUACCCUGGUAGUCCGCACGGUAAACGAUGGAUGCCCGCUGUUAGCGCCUGGCGUUAGCGGCUAAGCGAAAGCAUUAAGCAUCCCACCUGGGGAGUACGCCGGCAACGGUGAAACUCAAAGGAAUUGACGGGGGCCCGCACAAGCGGAGGAACAUGUGGUUUAAUUCGAUGAUACGCGAGGAACCUUACCCGGGCUUGAAUUGCAGACGCAGGAUACAGAGAUGUUGA
rnacentral:rRNA from 1 species